rnacentral:rRNA from 1 species
GGAGGCAGCAGUGGGGAAUUUUCCGCAAUGGGCGAAAGCCUGACGGAGCAACGCCGCGUGAGGGAGGAAGGCCUUUGGGUUGUAAACCUCUUUUGCUCGGGAAGAAGAAAGUGACGGUACCGAGCGAAUCAGCCUCGGCUAACUCCGUGCCAGCAGCCGCGGUAAGACGGAGGAGGCAAGCGUUAUCCGGAAUCAUUGGGCGUAAAGAGUCCGUAGGUGGCAACGCAAGUCGGCGGUCAAAGACCGGAGCUUAACUCCGGAGCGGCCGUGGAAACUGCGCAGCUAGAGUCCGGUAGGGGUAGCGGGAAUUCCCAGUGUAGCGGUGAAAUGCGUAGAGAUUGGGAAGAACAUCGGUGGCGAAAGCGCGCUACUGGGCCGGAACUGACACUGAGGGACGAAAGCUAGGGGAGCGAAAGGGAUUAGAUACCCCUGUAGUCCUAGCUGUAAACGAUGGAAACUAGGCGUGGCUUGUAUCGACC